AAUAUCUUCACCUUGUUUGCAAAAUAUUAAUCUUUUAGCCUGCUAGGUACCUUUGAGUUCUCUGGUAGUACGUGAUGGGCCAGGUGAGUUGAUCAUCCCAGCCAGGGAUACUAUGGCGAUGAGAUCAUUUGAAGCUUCAAGUUGCAGUGAAUAUUUGUAGUGUUUCUUGUGAGGAAAACGUAUGAACCGCUUGAGAAGGUGUGAGUUAUGAAAUUAUAUUCAUGUUAGAUGGCUCGUGUAAUUACCAAUGUUUAUUACAGGUGACGUCUGAUCUAAUAGUUUGACCUGGCCCACAAAACCGGUUUGGUUUUCAAACAGAUGACGUACAAAUAGAUGAACACUGGGAGUCGUGUUUAAAUAAUAAUUUUGGUGGGGGCUAGAAGGAGGUAAACCAGAAUGCCAAGUGUCAAUGUCCAUAAGUUUUCGGAGGAGAAAGUUUAAAUGUUCCAGAUUUUAUAAAUUUCGGACAAUGAUGAUGUUCAUGAGAUGUCUCAGUAAAAAGCUUUUUAUUUGAUGUUUGGAUA